rnacentral:rRNA from 1 species
CGAGAUUGAGGUAUGUUAGGUGACCUUCGGGGAAAGUUGAGACAGGUGGUGCAUGGUUGUCGUCAGCUCGUGUCGUGAGAUGUUGGGUUAAGUACCGCGACGAGCGCUACCCCUGCCAUUAGUUGCUACGCAAGAGCACUCUAAUGGGACCGCUACCGACAAGGUGGAGGAAGGUGGGGACGACGUCAAAUCAUCAUGCCCCUUAUGACCUGGGCUACACACGUAAUACAAUGGCCGUUAACAGAGGGAAGCAAUACAGCGAUGUGGAGCAAAACCCUAAAAACGGUCUCAGUUCGGAUUGUAGGCUGCAACCCGCCUACAUGAAGUUGGAAUUGCUAGUAAUCGCGGAUCAGCAUGCCGCGGAGAAUACGUUCCCGGGCCUUGUACACCCCGCCCGUCACCCCAUGGGAGUUUGUAACACCCGAAGUCAGUGUCCCAACCGCAAGGAGGGAGCUGCCGAAGGUGGGAUAAGCGACUGGGGUGAAGUCGUAACAA